GGGGAAUAUUGCACAAUGGGCGCAAGCCUGAUGCAGCGACGCCGCGUGAGGGAUGACGGCCUUCGGGUUGUAAACCUCUUUCAAUAGGGACGAAGCGCAAGUGACGGUACCUAUAGAAGAAGGACCGGCCAACUACGUGCCAGCAGCCGCGGUAAUACGUAGGGUCCGAGCGUUGUCCGGAAUUACUGGGCGUAAAGAGCUCGUAGGUGGUUUGUCGCGUUGUCCGUGAAAACUCACAGCUUAACUGUGGGCGUGCGGGCGAUACGGGCAGACUGGAGUACUGCAGGGGAGACUGGAAUUCCUGGUGUAGCGGUGGAAUGCGCAGAUAUCAGGAGGAACACCGGUGGCGAAGGCGGGUCUCUGGGCAGUAACUGACGCUGAGGAGCGAAAGCGUGGGGAGCGAAC
rnacentral:rRNA from 1 species